GUCUGCGGCCACGCCACCCUGAUGUCUGAUCUCAGAAGCUAAGCAGGGUCGGGCCUGGUUAGUGCUUGGAUGGGAGACCACCUAGGAAGACCAGGUGCUGUAGGCG
rnacentral:rRNA from 1 species